rnacentral:rRNA from 1 species
GACGAGGGGUCCUAGCGUUGUUCGGAAUCACUGGGCGUAAAGCGUAUGUAGGCGGGCUUUUAAGUCAGGUGUGAAAUCCCACGGCUCAACCGUGGAAUUGCAUUUGAAACUGGAAGUCUUGAGUGUGGGAGAGAUUGGUAGAAUACCUGGUGUAGUGGUGAAAUACGUAGAUAUCAGGUGGAAUACCGGUGGCGAAGGCGGCCAAUUGGCCCAACACUGACGCUGAGAUACGAAAGCGUGGGGAGCAAACAGG